CAGUAGCCGCGGGAAUACGUAGGGCGCAAGCGUUGUCCGGAAUUAUUGGGCGUAAAGAGCUCGUAGGCGGUCUGUCGCGUCUGGUGUGAAAUCCCGAGGCUCAACCUCGGGCUUGCAUCGGGUACGGGCAGACUAGAGUGCGGUAGGGGAGACUGGAAUUCCUGGUGUAGCGGUGGAAUGCGCAGAUAUUAGGAGGAACACCGAUGGCGAAGGCAGGUCUCUGGGCCGCAACUGACGCUGAGGAGCGAAAGCAUGGGGAGCGAACAGGAUUAGAUACCCCCGUAGUCCCUGUCUCUUAUAC
rnacentral:rRNA from 1 species